GACCUGCGCCGAGAACGCGCAGCCCAGGGCGACAUUGCAUGAUCUUCUACCAGAGGCGGGCACACCCACCGCUCGCGGCCGGGACGGACUCAGAAGAACCACAGCCAUCGCCCGUCUCCCAUCUCCAAGAUGGCGGAGGCAGCUUCAACCUCACCUCUCGCGAGGAGUUUGUCCCACUGUCUCUGAUUAGCCCCGAGGUCAGAGGUAUCACAGGCUUUGUGAGAACUCAGCUGCCAGAAUUUUAACAAUGAGAGAAAACAUUCAUUCUCACUUCUGAAGGCUUUCAUUGCUGUAAUGAUCUCCAGGUGCUGCUGUGUUGGAACUCUAGAACUGGUGCAAGCUAUUUUCACACCAUUUGCCUCCUGUUGCGUGCCCUUCCUCUCUAUGCAGAUCAGAGUCUGGAAAUCCGGAUAGCGGGAUGUUGACAAAUUCCAGUGCUCUAUUAAACUUUUUUCUCCCUCCUCCCACCCCCGCCAAAUCUUGUUGCUUCCCCAGGGUUCCAUCCUCUGUCUUCCUCUCACUCAACACCCUGCUGCUUGAAUUCAAUAAAAUGCUAUGAUCUACCAAG